UAAUGAUUUUAUUUAUUUUAACAUUUUAAAAUGUUUUCCUUUGGGGAAUUCUAAUUUAUAUAUCAAUAUUCAGGUAAUAUUUGCUGAAAACACAAACAGAGUCAAAAUGAUCUGCAUUCACAUUCUCAUUUUCUAUUAUAACAUAGAGACAACUACUUUAUUAUCUUUUUAGAAACUUUUGCAACUACUUUAGUUUCUUCCUAAUUUUAUAAAUUAAUCUAUCUCAAAAAACUUUGCCCAAAAGACUUAGUAAUAGCUGUCAACUUCAGAAAAACUAAAACUUUAAAGAUAACUUUUAGAAGGAAAAUGAAAUACAGAAAUAAUGUAUCUUAUUUACACUUAAUUAAAAAUAAUAUGAAUUGUCACUAUUUCCUAUGAAAACAUCUCAUGCCAAAUUUCUUUUAUUAAGCUAGGAUUUAAAAGAUAAUUUAGUUGAAACUGGUAGAAUCUUAGUAAAAUUAUAACAAUAAGAAAUUUUUAUAUUAUAUAUAAUAUAGAAUAAUCACAUUUAAUUCCACUUGUUAGUCUAUUCUGAUUCUUUAGCAAGUUGAUUCAUAAUUUGCCAACUUGGGUCAGAAAUAUUUUCUAUUCUUAGCUUUUGCUGUCAGCAGAGAUAAUAAUAAUAUAGAACCUGAACAACAAAGGAUUGUGUAUUGUUUCAAUUUAAUUAAAGUUGAUUCCCUGCUUUAAGAGAGACUCACAUUUUAUAUAUUUUUUUAUUAAAAAGAGAAUGUAGAUAUUUGCUUUUCCAAAUUUCCCAUAAGAUAAAGAAAACAUAUUUUUUCUUAAUUACACCCUUGCUAAGUCACGCUAGCUGCCUGACCUUGGACAAAAUUCUUAACCUCUUUGUGUCUCAUUUUCAAUAACUGUGAAUUAAAGAUGAUUAUUGUAGUAUAUUUCUCAAGGGAUUGUUGUGGGAAUUAAAUAAAAUAAUCCUCUAAAAUGCUUAGUACAGAUUCUGGAACAUAAUAAGCAGAAAAAAUUAAUAACUUAUUAUUUUUAUUUACUAUAUUAUAUGACAUACUUUUUCUUUAUGAUCUUCAGGGGAAUUUCUACUCAUCUUAAAAACAUAUAUAGAUAUUGAUCUGCGGAGAAAUAUAUCUCUGUUAUUUCAAGGUCUGUGGAUUACAUAAUGGUCAACUCUGAUUGAUUUACUGAUUGAUUCAAAAAAUUUUAAAGCAAAACUAAAAAUAUUGCAGCUAUGUUGGUUUUAACCAUUCUAAACUCUGAUGAAAUUUGCUUUCUGUUUGGUUUGUGACUAGGAAGCUAAACAUUAUUUAUUAGUAAUGAAAAUUUCUGGUGUCUAAAAAAAUUCAAGAGGAAAACCAUUAGAUUCUAUUACAAUUAAAUCUGUUAAGAUUUAAUUGCAAAUAUGUAGAUAGUGCAAAUAUGUCUUAGGGUACAAUUUUUGUUCUCAUUAAGUUACCCAUUUUACAUUUUGAGAACACUAACAGAUGAAAUACUUGUCAAAGAGAAGAUCUAAGAUGGUUUAAAGAAAAUAUUAAAUGAAAUCAAACUUACUUGUCAAGCUCCAUAGCACAACUUACAAGUCAUAAAUCGCACUCUGUAUGACAGCUACGGGAGGGAUCUGGGUAGUAAAACAAAAUGAUGGAUUUUAUCUUUCCUGUUUUUGAGUUAUUAAGAACUAGUUGAACUAUAGAAUGACGUGAAAGACUCACAUCAGGGAUGGGAGGUUAUUUGCAGAAACUCUUAUUUUCUUUAUCACAUUAAUGUCAAUAUUUGACAUUUCCAUACGACUAAUUAUUGAACUAAUUUUUGAUUUCUUAUGCCAACUGUUAAUAAUCCUCUUUUCAUCCAGAAAACAAUCACUUUUUGUCUAUCUGUAAAUUGACAUUUGUUAUGUUAAUUUGUUUUUGCUUAUUACAAGGAUUAUCUUUUAUUUACAACAAAGCAUUCACAGAUUGCCGUGACAGAUUUGUCUUCAAUCAAAUCUCAUAAACAUUAAUUGAAUUAUUGAAAGGAAUUUGUAAAUUAUUGUGUUUUUUCUAAAAUAGUAACAUCAGCGUGUAUAUUACGUUAAUUUUGUUUACAGUUUUUUGCUUCACAUUAACUAUAUUUAACUGAUUUUAACAGCCUUAGAUAACUCCAAAACAUCAAUUACUUUACUUGGAUUUAUUAAUUCAUUCAAAAAAUAUAUAUAUAAUGAGAAUCUAUUAUUUGCCAGGCACUGGGCUAGGCAAAGGUAAGAGUGAAUGGCAAAAUCAUGUUCUCCCUGUUUUCCUGUAAUAUAUUGUCUGGCUAAAGGCUGUGAAGGAAGAGUAAUGUGAAGGAAGAGUAUUCGAAGGAUAUAAGAAAAGGGAUCACACAAUUAACUGUAUGUAGGCUGUUCUUAGGGAAGAUUUCUUCUAGAGGUGGUACUUGGCCUUCAGUCAGAAGCAUGAUUUGAUAUUUGAUGUUAACCAGGUAAUUGAGGGGAUAAGGUGCUUUCUCAGCAGAAAAGACAUAGUAGGCAAAGUCUUUAAGUUAAAAGCAUAGUGAAAGCUCAAAACUAAAAGGAGGCUUGGGUGUCUGGACUCCAGAGACAGGAAGAGAGUUUAUAGAGUCUAGCAGAGAUAGCAGAGAAGACUUUAUCUUUUUUUUUUCUUUUUUUUUUUUUCUGUAGCAAACAUCUUUCCUGUGAAAAAUUCCCUCUCCUAGUACUUUAGUUCUGUGGAUCCAAAAUUUAUAGCAUUCUUCUACCACCACAGGGGCUCAUAUGACAUUAACAGACAAGACACUUUUCAGAAAGACAGGGAACUGUGGAAGUAAACCAGGGGUGACAUGGAUUAUCAAAUAUUGUGGAUCAGGUGAGCUCUAGGCUUCUCAAUGCAAGGUAAUUACCCUGCACUUUCAUCUAUUUUAUAAUAUUGCCUUUAUUUUUUUCCAUGAAAGAGUUAGGUUUGGAAAAACAAGAAAAACACGGUUAAAAUUAUUUCUCUAGUGAAUUGGUUGUGUUUAUAAAUCUUUAGCUUAGCUUGAGUCCCCCUUUGUGAAAUGUAUAAAUCCUUUUGAUACAUUAACAAACACUUGGAAAAUGACUUAACUUAUUAAGUUGAAUUCUCUAAUAUAAGGGUUAUAAGUGAAGGCUUAAUUAUUCAGCAUUACUGAAUUCAAUAUAUCUGCCCUUUCAGUUUGCCUAGGGUGACAAAUACAUUUCCCAUUACAGCUUGCCAAUGUAACACAGCCUUAUUUCAUUUUUGUUGUAAAUAGAAUCACAUUCUAAUAUGUUUUAGCUGAAAACAGCAAAGUAUAUAUUCAACUACUUCCCAAUAGGGAAAAUUUUUAAAAAAAGUUAUUUCUUUAGCCCAGAGCUUUAUUUUCCUUUUACAUAACAGAAAAAUACUUGGUGUGAAAUAAAACCUUCUUACACGUAAUGAGACCCCAUAGAAUUUUAAUGAAAGACAAUUGAAGACCCAUUUUUAAAUAAGCCAUUGGGAAGAAUUAAUAUAAUUAAGAAUAGAAAAAAACUAGAUAAAGUUACAAGAACAACCUAGGAACAUUUCUAUAUUUCUUCCUCAUUUUCUGGAGUUUUAAAAGAUGUUGAAACAUUUUGACAGCUAUAGAAAAUGACCUAGGGACAAAUAUACUCUCUAUUCCUGACAUAAAAUGAUAUGCUUAUUUUGUUUCUCAUAAAACUCAGCAUAAAACUAUAUACCUAAUAGUUAUUUAAAAGGAGUUCCUAAAAAUAAAUAUAUUCAUUAUUAAUAUGUGACAUGACUGAGUUACUUUUGAAAAACUACAAAUUAUUCAACAUACUUUAACGUAGGAUUUAGUAUCAAUAUGGUAUCCAUUUCUUGAUUCUGUUUUUCAUAGUGCACUUAAAUAUAUAUGUUAAUACUUUUGAAUAAGUGCAUUAUGCUAUGAAAUGUUUUAAUGAGAAAAAUGAAUCUAUACAAAGCAACUUCAUUUAUAUUUUGUUCCUGUCAUGUUACAUUGCUGAUAUUUUGUAUUAUACUAGACGACUCAUUUUUAAAUACAUAAUUGUAUAUGAAGUUCUCAAUGUUAAUGUCUGGAGGAUACAGAAUCAAAACAGAAGUUAAAAAAUUAAAAGUAAACUAUAUUUUGCAUAUGAAUAAGAAUAUUACAAAUACCAUAUUUAUAUACUAUGUUUAUAUAUCUUUACACUAUGCCAAAAGGUAUAUAUGGCAGAUAGAGAAAUAAUAUCUCUGCAUAAACAUAAAAUCAAGAUACGUAAUAUUUUAAAAUGUUUUUCAUUGAAGUGUAAUUGACAUAAACUGAACAUAUCCAGUGUAUUUUUAAAGUUUUGGCAUAUUGGUACACGAGAAAACACCAUGGCAAUCAAGAUCAUGAACAUAUUCACUUCCCUAAAGUUAUUUUGUGUCUUUAGUAAUCGCUUCUUCCCCUCUUCCCUACUCAAUCUCCAUGCAACUACUAAUCUAUUUCUGAUACUACAGAAUGGUUUACACUUGGUAGAAUUUUAUGUAAAUGGAGUCACACAAAAUCUAUUCUUUUUUGUCUGUCUUUUGCACUCAACAUAACUACUCUGACUUUCGCCUAUGUUGAUACUGGUAACAAUAGUUCAUUCUUUUUUUAAUAGAUUUUAUUUUUAGAACAAUUUUAGGUUUAUAGUAGAAACUAACAAAGCAGAGAGAAUUUCCAUACACUUUCUCCUACUCUCCAUGUUCUUUAUGAUUAAUAUCUUGAAUUAGUGUGGUACAUUCGUUAUAAUUGAUGCAUCAGUAUUGACAUUAUAAAUGAAAGUCCAUAAAUUAGUUUUAUAUUAGCGUUCACUCUUGACAUUAUACAUUUCAUGCGUUUGGACAAAUGCAUAUGUCAUGUAACCACUACUACAAUAUUAUAAGAAUAGUUUUACUUUCUUAAAAAUUUCUGUGCUUGAUUUAUUCAUCCCUUCCCUUGGAGACUACUGGAAAUUCUGAUCUUUUUACAGUUUUUCCCUUUUUAAGAAUGUUGUAUCAUUGGAAUUAUACAGUAUACAGCCUUUUCAGAUUAGCUUCUUUCACUAAGUUGUAGGCAUUUUAGGUUCUUGCAUGUUUUGUAUGGUUUGAUAGCUUAUUUUUUAAUCACUGAAUAUCCCAUUUUAUAGAUAUGCUAGUUUAUUGAACCAUUACUCACCUGUUGGCGGCAUCUGGUAGCUACCAAGUUUUGUUAUGAGAAAAGCUAUUUUAAGGAGUCAUGUGACUCAUUUGGAUAGGAAUGAAGUUUUUUUGACUCAUUUGGAUAGGAGUGAAAUAUUUUUGACUCAUUUGGAUAGGAGUGAAGUUACUGGUCCAUGUGGUAAGACUACAUUUAACUUUGUAAGAAACUGCAAAGCUAUCUUCUAACGUGGCUGUGCCAUUUUGCAUUCCCACAAGCAACAAAUGAGAGUUUCCCUUGCUCUUUAUCUUCAACACAAUUUAGUGUUUUCAGUGUUCUGGAUUUUAGCCAUUUUAGUAGGCAUGCGGUGGUAUCUCGUUCGAAUGAGCGAUUCUCUAAUAAUACAUGAUGUUGAGCAUAUUUCAUUCGCUUAUUUGCCAUCAAUAUAUUUUCCUCAGUGAAAUGUCUGUUCAGAUCUGCCCAUUUUUUAACUGGAUUAUUUAUCUUUUUUUUUCUUUUUGAGUUUCAAGAGUUCUGUGGCGUGCUCAUACCAGUUCUUUAUUGGAUACAUGUUUUGUAAAUAUUGUCUCCCAGUCUUGGCUUGUUUUUUAAAUAUUAACUAUGACUUUCUUAGAGCAGAAGUUUUAAUUUUUAUUAAAUUCAACUUAUAACAUUCUUCUAUAGUCUCACAUUUUUAUAUUUAAAUCUAUUAUCCAUUCUUGUACAUUGUGUAUACACAGUGUCUACAUUCUUUUUUUUGGAUGUGGAUGUCCAACUGUUCCAGUACCGUUUGUUGAAAAUAUGGUUUUGUGUGUGUGUGUGUGUGUGUGUGUGUGUGUGUGUGUGUGGUUAUAUCUCACGUUAUGAGUAUACAGUGUUUGGUUUAUUUAUUCACCCAUUGAUAAACUUUGGGUUGUUUACAGUUUAGUGUUAGUAUAAAUAAGUUUGUCAUGGCCACUUGCAAACACAUUCUUGUAUGUAUAUACGCUAUACUGUUUUCUGCUUAAAGAGCAACAGUAGAAUAAGUAGGUAAAAUGAUGGGGGUCUA
rnacentral:lncRNA from 1 species